GGACUACUACAGUAGUAGUCCGUGCUUAAAAGGUCUUUAAUCGUGUGGAUUAUGGAACGACCUUAUCACUUUAUCAGUUAUCUUUCUUAAGAUGGCCGUGACGCACCACGGCGCGACUGUAUGUAAAAUAAUAAUUACUAAAAAUGUAAAUUUGUAAUUAUUGUUUAUUUAAUAAUAUGAUUUUAUAAGUAAAACAAUAUCAACAUGUUCAAACUGCAAUAUAAUACCAGAGUGUGCUUUUUCCGCCACUUGAAAUUCAGUAUCGGUUACACGAUAGACACAAAACACCCGAGUAGUCGUGCCGCUUCUAAAUCUGUAGUAGUUGAUGGUAAAUCAUAUAUUGAAGACGAAUACACGAAUGUCACGCCAAAAAUAUUAUCGUUUAUCGGUACCAACAAUCACAACCGUUGUGGCCACCCUCUCAACUUGUUCAAACAGCGUCUUGUCGAUUUUUUCUACGAUCAUUUCAGAGGACGAACGGGUAAUCCAAUUUUUUCUAUUUACGACAAAAUAAAUCCAGUCGUGACGACAAAUGAAAAUUUUGACUCUCUACUUGUACCCAAAGAUCACCCAAGUAGAAACAAAACCGAUAGUUAUUAUUUGAACAAGACUCACAUGCUUCGUGCCCACUGUACUGCACACCAGUCCGAAUUAAUAAAAAUGGGUUUGGACAAUUUUGUAGUAUUCGGUGAUGUGUACAGGAGAGAUGAAAUCGACGCCACUCACUAUCCUGUAUUUCAUCAGGCUGACGGUGUGCAUAUAUUUACACCCAAUGAAUUAGAAUUAAUCAACGGAACUAAUGUUAAUGUAUUUGAUAACGACAAAAACAAUUCAAACGAUGAAAAGCAAGGGGUUUAUUCAAAAGAAGCCAAUGAAAUUGUUACUGAUCACUUGAAAAAAACAUUGGUUACGAUGAUUAAAAAAGUAUUUGGCGAAGAAAUUGAA